rnacentral:rRNA from 1 species
UUCCUACGGGGGGCAGCAGUAGGGAAUAUUGCGCAAUGGGGGCAACCCUGACGCAGCGACGCCGCGUGAGUGAUGAAGGCCUUUCUGGUUGUAAAGCUCUGUAAAGAGGGAAGAAUGUCAGGCGGUAAUUCGUCUGAGUGACGGUACCUCUGAAGUAAGGACCGGCUAAACACGUGCCAGCAGCCGCGGUAAUACGUGUGGUCCUAGCGUUGUCCGGAAUAACUGGGCGUAAAGGGUGUGUAGGCGGAUAUCCGUGUCAGGUGUGAAAUUCCCCGGCUUAACUGGGGCAUUGCGCUUGAAACUGGAUAUCUGGAGCGUGUCAGGGGUAAGCGGAAUUCCCGGAGUAGCGGUGAAAUGCGUAGAUAUCGGGAAGAACACCGGUGGCGAAGGCGGCUUACUGGGACAUGGCUGACGCUGAGGCACGAAAGCGUGGGGAGCGAACGGGAUUAGAUACCCUGGUAGUC